rnacentral:rRNA from 1 species
ACACCGGCGGCUCGAGUGGUAACCGUUAUUAUUGGGUCUAAAGGGUCUGUAGCCGGCCGGAUAAGUCUCUUGAGAAAUCUGGCAGCUUAACUGUCAGGCUUUCAGGAGAUACUGUCUGGCUCGAGGCCGGGAGAGGUGAGAGGUACUUCAGGGGUAGGGGUGAAAUCUUGUAAUCCUUGAAGGACCACCAGUGGCGAAGGCGUCUCACCAGAACGGACCUGACGGCAAGGGACGAAAGCUAGGGGCACGAACCGGAUUAGAUACCCAGGUAGUCCCAGCCGUAAACGAUGCUCGCUAGGUGUCAGGCAUGGCGCGACCGUGUCUGGUGCCGCAGGGAAGCCGUGAAGCGAGCCACCUGGGAAGUACGGCCGCAAGGCUGAA